rnacentral:rRNA from 1 species
CCUACGGGAGGCAGCAGUGGGGAAUAUUGGACAAUGGGGGCAACCCUGAUCCAGCCAUGCCGCGUGUGUGAAGAAGGCCCUCGGGUUGUAAAGCACUUUCAGUGAGGAAGAACGCCUGGUGGUUAAUACCCAUCAGGAAAGACAUCACUCACAGAAGAAGCACCGGCUAACUCCGUGCCAGCAGCCGCGGUAAUACGGAGGGUGCGAGCGUUAAUCGGAAUUACUGGGCGUAAAGCGCGCGUAGGUGGCUUGAUAAGCCGGUUGUGAAAGCCCCGGCCUCAACCUGGGAACGGCAUCCGGAACUGUCAAGCUAGAGUGCAGGAGAGGAAGGUAGAAUUCCCGGUGUAGCGGUGAAAUGCGUAGAGAUCGGGAGGAAUACCAGUGGCGAAGGCGGCCUUCUGGACUGACACUGACACUGAGGUGCGAAAGCGUGGGUAGCAAACAGGAUUAGAUACCCUAGUAGUC